UACAGAGGGUGCAAGCGUUUAAUCGGAAUUACUGGGCGUAAAGCGUGCGUAGACGGUAGCGUAAGUCGGGUGUGAAAGCCCCGGGCUCAACCUGGGAAUUGCAUUCGAGACUGCUCUGCUAGGGUGCGGAAGAGGGGAGCGGAAUUCCCGGUGUAGCGGUGAAAUGCGUAGAGAUCGGGAAGAACACCAAUGGCGAAGGCACUCUGCUGGGCCGCGACUGACACUGAGAGACGAAAGCUAGGGGAGCAAACAGG
rnacentral:rRNA from 1 species